rnacentral:rRNA from 1 species
GACGAACCGUGCGACCGUUAUUCGGAAUCACUGGGCUUAAAGCGCGUGUAGGCGGGAGGGCACGUCCGUCGCUGAAAUCCCCCGGCUCAACCGGGGAACGGGCGCGGAUACGACCUUCCUGGAGGGGCGUAGGGGGACCUGGAACUUCCGGUGGAGCGGUGAAAUGCGUAGAUAUCGUAAGGAAGACCAGUGGCGAAGGCGGGUCUCGGGACAGUUCCUGACGCUGAGGCACGAAGGUCAGGGGAGCAAACGGG